UCUCCGUAGGUGAACCUGCGGAGGGAUCAUUACAGAGUUCAUGCCCUUCGGGGUAGAUCUCCACCCUAUGUAUUUAUACUCUUGUUGCUUUGGUAGGCCGCUGGGCUUCGGCUUGGCCACCGGCUCACGCUGGUGUGUGCCUACCAGAGGCUAUCAAACUCUGAAUGUUAGUGUCGUCUGAGUACUAUAUAAUAGUUAAAACUUUCAACAACGGAUCUCUUGGCUCUGGCAUCGAUGAAGAACGCAGC
rnacentral:misc_RNA from 1 species